rnacentral:SRP_RNA from 1 species
UCCAGGCACAGUGGCACGUGCCUAUAGUCCCAGCUGCUUGGGAGGCUGAGACUGGAGGAUCACUUGAGUUCAGGAGUUUUGGGCUGUAGUGCACUAUGCCAGUCGGGUGUCCACACUAAGUUUGGCAUCAAUAUUGUGAUGUCCCAGGAGCAGGGGACCACCAGGUUGCCUAAGGAGGGGUGAACCAGGCAGGUCAGAAACAGAGCAGAUCAAAACUCCCGUGCUGAUCAGUUGUGGGAUUGCGUCUGUGAAUAGCCACUGCACUCCAGCCUGGGCAAUAUAGUGAGACCCCAUCUCUA